GAGGCAUUGGUGUAGUGGUAACACGGCAGGUUGUGGACCUGUUGUCAUGGGUUCGAAUCCCAUAUGCCUCC
rnacentral:tRNA from 1 species